GCAGUCGUGGCCUAGUGGAUAGGGUGGUUGACUGGAGAUCAAAAGGUCGCUGGUUCGACCUUUUUAGCUCCA